rnacentral:rRNA from 1 species
ACGCUGGCGGCGUGCCUAAUACAUGCAAGUAGAACGCUGAAGGAGGAGCUUGCUUCUCCGGAUGAGUUGCGAACGGGUGAGUAACGCGUAGGUAACCUGCCUGGUAGCGGGGGAUAACUAUUGGAAACGAUAGCUAAUACCGCAUAAUAGUAGAUGUUGCAUGACAUUUGCUUAAAAGGUGCAAUUGCAUCACUACCAGAUGGACCUGCGUUGUAUUAGCUAGUUGGUGGGGUAACGGCUCACCAAGGCGACGAUACAUAGCCGACCUGAGAGGGUGAUCGGCCACACUGGGGCUGAGACACGGCCCAGGCUCCUACGGGAGGCAGCAGUAGGGAAUCUUCGGCAAUGGACGGAAGUCUGACCGAGCAACGCCGCGUGAGUGAAGAAGGUUUUCGGAUCGUAAAGCUCUGUUGUAAGAGAAGAACGAGUGUGAGAGUGGAAAGUUCACACUGUGACGGUAUCUUACCAGAAAGGGACGGCUAACUACGUGCCAGCAGCCGCGGUAAUACGUAGGUCCCGAGCGUUGUCCGGAUUUAUUGGGCGUAAAGCGAGCGCAGGCGGUUAGAUAAGUCUGAAGUUAAAGGCUGUGGCUUAACCAUAGUACGCUUUGGAAACUGUUUAACUUGAGUGCAAGAGGGGAGAGUGGAAUUCCAUGUGUAGCGGUGAAAUGCGUAGAUAUAUGGAGGAACACCGGUGGCGAAAGCGGCUCUCUGGCUUGUAACUGACGCUGAGGCUCGAAAGCGUGGGGAGCAAACAGGAUUAGAUACCCUGGUAGUCCACGCCGUAAACGAUGAGUGCUAGGUGUUAGACCCUUUCCGGGGUUUAGUGCCGCAGCUAACGCAUUAAGCACUCCGCCUGGGGAGUACGACCGCAAGGUUGAAACUCAAAGGAAUUGACGGGGGCCCGCACAAGCGGUG